rnacentral:rRNA from 1 species
GCCUAACACAUGCAAGUCGAGCGGUAGCACAGAGAGCUUGCUCUCGGGUGACGAGCGGCGGACGGGUGAGUAAUGUCUGGGAAACUGCCUGAUGGAGGGGGAUAACUACUGGAAACGGUAGCUAAUACCGCAUAACGUCGCAAGACCAAAGAGGGGGACCUUCGGGCCUCUUGCCAUCAGAUGUGCCCAGAUGGGAUUAGCUAGUAGGUGGGGUAANGGCUCACCUAGGCGACGAUCCCUAGCUGGUCUGAGAGGAUGACCAGCCACACUGGAACUGAGACACGGUCCAGACUCCUACGGGAGGCAGCAGUGGGGAAUAUUGCACAAUGGGCGCAAGCCUGAUGCAGCCAUGCCGCGUGUAUGAAGAAGGCCUUCGGGUUGUAAAGUACUUUCAGCGAGGAGGAAGGCAUUGUGGUUAAUAACCACAGUGAUUGACGUUACUCGCAGAAGA